rnacentral:rRNA from 1 species
UACGGGGGGGGCAAGCGUUGUUCGGAAUUACUGGGCGUAAAGGGCUUGUAGGUGGCCAACUAAGUCAGACGUGAAAUCCCUCGGCUUAACCGGGGAACUGCGUCUGAUACUGGAUGGCUUGAGUGUGGGAGAGGGAUGCGGAAUUCCAGGUGUAGCGGUGAAAUGCGUAGAUAUCUGGAGGAACACCGGUGGCGAAGGCGGCAUCCUGGACCAUUACUGACACUGAAAAGCGAAAGCUAGGGGAGCAAACGGG